UACGUAGGGGGCUAGCGUUGUCCGGAUUUACUGGGCGUAAAGAGCACGUAGGCGGCUCGCUAAGUCGACCGUGAAAUCCCUCGGCCUAACCGAGGGGGGUCGGCCGAUACUGGCGGGCUUGAGGGUGGCAGAGGGAAGCGGAAUUCCCGGAGUAGUGGUGAAAUGCGUAGAUACCGGGAGGAACACCAGUGGCGAAGGCGCCUUCCUGGGCUUCUCCUGACGCUGAGGUGCGAAGGCGUGGGGAGCGAACCGA
rnacentral:rRNA from 1 species